UUUGAUUGUCAAUUAUUGCAAUUAAACUAAGAAUAAAUAAGUAAUAAAAUAAAAUAAUGAUAUAAAAAAACGACUUCCAAAAACCACUAAAACGUAAGAAAUAAUUUAAGGUUUAGACAUGGUUUAGACCUAUUCUAUGUGCCAGUACUAAUAUAUCUAAGCAGGUAAGUACUGCUUUUAUUUCUUACGUUUUAGUGUUUUUU